UCAAGGCAUGGGUACUAAUUGCAAGUUAUGUGUCAAUGGAAGAAGUCGGAUAAAGCAUACCUCUGCAUAAGCACCGAUACGGUGGUGCAUCUCCAUCAUUCCAGCGACCAUAUCCACGUCCAGUAGAGGAUCAUCGAUCAGUUGGAUAUCUUCAAGACAAUUUUUCCCAGAUGAUAGAGGAUUCGCACGAGCUUCAGAAUCAACCACGUCAAGAUUGGUCAAAGGACCUAGCUCGGAAGACGCGUUGGCAACUAUGAAUUCCAAAACUGUCACCGCUUCAAUCUCCG
rnacentral:lncRNA from 1 species